rnacentral:rRNA from 1 species
GAUGAACGCUGGCGGCGUGCCUAAUACAUGCAAGUCGAGCGAACGGACGAGAAGGUUUGCCCUCUCUGGCUGGCGCGGGGCGGGGGUGUGAGACAUGUAUGUAACCCAUCUAUUACGCGGGGAACACCGCGGGAAACCGGAGCUUAUAACGGAAUAUAUUUAACUGCGUAUGAAACAAGAGCGAGAGACUGUUCUCGUUUCACUUAGAGGUGGUCGCGCGGGGUAUUAGCUAGUUGGUGGGGUAACGGAUCACCAAGGCAACGAUCCAUAGCCGACCUGAGAGGGUGAUCAGCCACACUGGAACUGAGACACGGUCCAGACUCCUACGGGAGGCAGCAGUAGGGAAUCUUCCGCAAUGGGCGAAAGCCUGACGGAGCAAUGCCGCGUGAGUGAAGAAGGUCUUCGGAUCGUAAAACUCUGUUGUUAGGGAAGAACAAGUGCGUGAGUAACUGAACGUAUCUUGACGGUACCUAAUCAGAAAGCCACGGCUAACUACGUG